GCCUCCUAUAACAACAUCAAAGAUCAACUGCAAACAUCCCCGAAAUCCAGCUCUAAUGCUAUCCAAAACCAAGCCAAAGCAGCUAAAACAGUCCCUAAUAACACAGUUGUGUCGCACCUCGAAACAGUCCAAAUUUUCAGCUGAAAAUGCAGCAGCACAACCAUGGUAAAAGACCCAUAAACAGCUCCGUCUUUAGUCACUGCUAGCUUUCUCUUGGGUCGAGUAUCGGCAAGUAUCGUUAGAGGUUGCCGGCAUCGGUUGCGAUCCCUGUCGUUUUUCAAACAACAUUGUUGCUGUAAGUUUAUUCAAAGUGUUUGUUUAAUCAAAUUUGGAGAAACAACAACAAAUCAUGGUCCAUCCCUUCUUGAAGUUAUUAUUUCUUUAAUAUUGUGCCAGUGAUUAUUUUCUCUAGUUUGUCUUUUUUGUGCUCAAUUUAUUUCCCUUGAAUUGAUAUCUUAUAUUUAAAUGAUGAGAUUUCAUUGUUAGAUGUUAAUUAGCUUAGUGGCUUAAUGACUUAGUAUUUAAUUGAAUUAAAAGAAUAAGCUCCCCCCUCUCGGGGGGGGGGGGGGUUACUCAGUUAAAAUUGAGAAGAAUUGAUCUAACUGGUCUUUGGAAAAUAGUUGAAAAUGUGUUCUAUCAUGUAUUGGAUCGUAGGGUGAUAUCAAAAGAAUGAGAUCUGGGCCAAAUGAAUGUUGUUGGCCCAGUGUUGAUAGUUUGAAGCACAAAAGCUAGUCUACCUUUUCUAUAAUUAAUUUUCUUCGUUUUCUCCACAAUAAUAUCCAUACCUCAUGACUUUAUAACAACCUCAAAUUAGUUUAGGAAGAAUAAUGAACUCUGUUAGAGUGCUUUAGGCGCGUUUUUAAUUAGUUUAUCGCGAUUAUAUAUACAUUCGCAUGACAUAAUUGUGAUUUUCAAAAUCAAAACCUAAGUAUGUGUUCGCGCAACUUUGACCAAAACAAUAUUAAUAUAAAAAUGCUAUUAAUUGUGUACAUGUACGCGUGACAUGAUUUUGGCACAAUAAACAAAACAGAUUCACACAUGUGAUUCGUUCCAAAAAAAAUUAAAUAUUUUAAUAAUUAAAAGUGGAUAGAUAAAAUAAGGAAGCCAAUAAAUCCCAAUUUAUCCAAAAUUAAUUCAAGCCAAGUUGUAAUCAAUAAAGUUAUCGUGCUAGAACCACGGGGCUCGGGAAAUGCCUUACACCUUCUCCCCGGCCAACAGAAUUCUUUACCCGCACUUUAUUUUUCGCAGACCAAUAAUAACAAAGUCAAAUCUUCCUUUGUAUAGGGAUUCAAAUAAAAGGUGACUUGGAACAACCAAAAAUCAAAUUUCAAGUGGCGACUCUGAAUAAUAAAAUAAUCUCUACUUCAAAAAUGUC
rnacentral:lncRNA from 1 species